UAUUUUUAACUUGGUAACUUUUAUGAAAGUUAUACAUGAACACAAGUUAGAAUAAAUAGCUCUUAUUUCAAAAAACAGCAUGCUUCUGUCCUCCCAUGUGUCACGCUUCGUGGUUUCUAGAAGCAACCUUUUUCAAAUCCUUUAACAAUUUUUUUUAUUAAUUUGUAUUAAUCUGAGUAAUUUGCUUAAAUUGCUUCUUCUUGACCUUUGAGUUUAAAAUACGACUGACUUUUCACUGUGAAGAGGAGGCUACCAUCACAUCCAUUCAUACUUUCCAUCUUUCACUUGCUCGGUAUAAGGAAAUCAUAAUUUUUAUUACAUCAACAUUCAUUUCUCAGUUGUGGUACCCUAUGUUGUAUACUAAGAUAAUGUUUCUUUUCUGCAAGUUUUGUUGACACUGUUACUAUAAACCUUUUUUUUGUUUGUUUUUCUAGACGGAGUGUCAAUCUGUUGAUGGGCUGGAGUGCAGUGGCGUGAUCUCAGCUCACUGCAACCUCUGCCUCCCAGGUUCAAGAGAUUCUCCUGCCUCAACCUCCUGAGUAGCUGGAACUACUGGUGUGUGCCACCACGCCCAGCUAAUUUUUGUAUUUUUAGUAGAGAUGGAGUUUCACCAUGUUGGCCAAGAUGGUCUGGAUCUCUUGACCUCAUGAUCCGCCCCCCUCGGCCUCCUAAAGUGCCGACUAAUAAAUAUUUUAUUUCUAUAUUCCCCCACCUGUUUCUUAAGUCUUCUCUAAGUUAACUCAAACAUGUCAGACAUUUCAAUAUAUUUUGCAGAAAAAGUUUCUCAUACAGUAAGGGUGUGCUUCAAUAAAAAGUACUCUUUUGAACUUCUUUCUGGGGAUUAUUGUCACUUCUGUCUUAUGUUAUACAUCUUUUCCAUUUUGUUAAUAUAUAAAUAUAGUAGUCAAAAUAAUAACUCAACGAACUAUUCUCUUUACUAGUAAAGGUUUAUCUAACACUGCAAUCUUCAGAUGCAUGUUCUAGAGUGUUUUAUUAUUCUUAAUUUAUUUAGAAAUUCCAGUGAAAGGUUAAGAUAAAUCAUUUUGGAAAAAUUAGAUUAAACCAGAAUCUUUUUGACAUAGAAAAUAACAUGAAUACAAGAAACAGACAUUGGGGGAAAUCUUUACCAUUUAACAUAACAAUAAAAUUGUUCAGCACAACUCAUUUAUUGACUCAAGUAUUGUCAUUGUACAUGCUGUAACAGAGCAAUGAGCUAUAACAAGAGUUUUUAGAUAAUCUGUGUUUUAGAUUAUAAAUAGAAAUAUCAACUCAUCUGAGGAGUUCUCACCUCUGUAAGAAAUGAUUCAUAUUAAUAACCAUAUUCAGAUUUAUUGGCAUUUUGUGAUUCAGUUUUCGGGCUAAAAAUAUAUUUUCCUUUCUUUGUUAAAACAUAUGCCUGUGUAUUUAUACUUAGUCCUGAGCAGAAAAAAAUAAUACGGAAGAUGCCACAAUUUAAAUAUUAUAAUCUCCUUAAGAAGAAGUUUUAUUCUUUGGGAAAAGUUGCAUUUUUAUGCUUGAUACAAUGAAUUAAUCUUUAGCUCCUCUUACUUCUGCAUAAAUGGCUAUCUGAUUGCUUAUAUAUUCAGAGUAGACAUUCCUAAUUUAAAAUACAGAACCUAAUCAUUCUAUUUUCCUUGCUUUGGAGGCCUUGCUUUACUAGCUAACCAUUCAUCAGUGGACUUUAAAUUGCUGUAGGCAAGCAGAAAAGGAUUUCCUUCUUUACAUUUUCUUAGUAUAUUUUCACAGAAAAGAAUAUUAAUAGAUGUGUAAAAAUCCCCUGAGAACUUUUGCAGCCAUUGCAAUUUAGAGAUGUUAUUGAAUUGGCUUAAAAAGUAUGAAAUAAGAGAAACAAAAAUAUUAGGCUAAGAAAGCUACAGUUUGGUUUUUUAAAAAUAUUUCUGUGAUAAGAAAAAACAAAGGUUUCAGCUGCCAACCAUAGAGCUUCAAAACAUACAGCUAAGCAAAGACUGACAUACUCACAUAUACCAUCUCACUAACACAAUUGUUAGAUGAUGGUGGAAAAUGCAGCCACCAAUCUCAUUUUUUUUAAUUUUUGUUUUGAGACAGGAUCUUGCUCUGUCAAUCUGGCUGGAGUGCAGUGGUACAAACACAGCUCACUGCAGCCUUGACCUUCCGGGCUCAGGCCAUCUUCCCACCUCAGCCUUCUGAGAAGCUGGGACUACAGGCAUGCACCACCAUGCCUAAUACUUCACUUUUUUUUUUUUUUUGUAGAGACAGGGUUUCACCAUGUUGCCCAGGCUGGUCCAAAAUUUCUGGGCUUAAAUUAUCCUCCUGCCUCAGCCUCCCAAAGUGCUGGGAUUGCAGGUGUGAGCAACUGUGCCCUGUCAGAUAUCAUUCUUUUUUUUUUUUUUACUAAUCUCAUGGCAGGCUUUAUUUCUUUUUCACUAUAUUUCUUUUUUUUUAAAUUAUUUUAUUUUAUUUUAUUUUGUUUUUUAUUAUACUUUAAGUUUUAGG
rnacentral:lncRNA from 1 species